GGGGAUGAAUUGGUUUCGACUGCAGCUAUUAGUCAGCAGUGGCACGCCGAUUGACCUGGCGUAUCGUAAAAACGGCGGGAUUAAAUUAAACGCAAACGAAAAUUUUGCACUCGCUGCGUAAGCAGUGACGUUUUGGGGUCCUUCGCCCUCAGGGGAUUUCAAGGCGUAAACUAUGAGGGAGCAGCUGACCGUGAAGCUUCGGCGCGGAAGGUGGAAAUUCAGAAGACAGGCUUUGAGUAGGGUUGUUCAUUCUCCGGCGAUAAGCUUAAAUUAAAUGAAUGAAACAAGCGUGUAGAAGUUGUUGGUUCAUACUGUAGGACGUGGGUUCAAAUCCCACCAUCUCCAAAA
rnacentral:tmRNA from 1 species